rnacentral:rRNA from 1 species
AACGAACGCUGGCGGCAUGCCUAACACAUGCAAGUCGAACGAGACCUUCGGGUCUAGUGGCGCACGGGUGCGUAACGCGUGGGAACCUGCCCUUAGGUUCGGAAUAACUCCCCGAAAGGGGUGCUAAUACCGGAUAAUGUCUUCGGACCAAAGAUUUAUCGCCUUUGGAUGGGCCCGCAUUGGAUUAGCUAGUUGGUAGGGUAAAAGCCUACCAAGGCGACGAUCCAUAGCUGGUCUGAGAGGAUGAUCAGCCACACUGGGACUGAGACACGGCCCAGACUCCUACGGGAGGCAGCAGUGGGGAAUAUUGGACAAUGGGCGAAAGCCUGAUCCAGCAAUGCCGCGUGAGUGAUGAAGGCCUUAGGGUUGUAAAGCUCUUUUACCCGGGAUGAUAAUGGCAGUACCGGGAGAAUAAGCUCCGGCUAACUCCGUG